AUUGAACGCUGGCGGCAGGCCUAACACAUGCAAGUCGAGCGAGCGGCGGACGGGUGAGUAAUGUAUGGGGAUCUGCCUGAUGGAGGGGGAUAACUACUGGAAACGGUAGCUAAUACCGCAUACUAUCCGAUGAACCCAUAUGGGAUUAGCUAGUAGGUAGGGUAACGGCUUACCUAGGCGACGAUCCCUAGCUGGUCUGAGAGGAUGAUCAGCCACACUGGGACUGAGACACGGCCCAGACUCCUACGGGAGGCAGCAGUGGGGAAUAUUGCACAAUGGGCGCAAGCCUGAUGCAGCCAUGCCGCGUGUAUGAAGAAGGCCUUCGGGUUGUAAAGUACUUUCAGUCGGGAGGCGUUACCCGCAGAAGAAGCACCGGCUAACUCCGUGCCAGCAGCCGCGGUAAUUC
rnacentral:rRNA from 1 species